GCCGAGGUGGUGGAAUUGGCAGACACGCCGUCUUGAGGGGGCGGUGCCCGCAAGGGCGUAUGAGUUCGAGUCUCAUCCUCGGCACCA
rnacentral:tRNA from 2 species